rnacentral:rRNA from 1 species
CACGCAGGCGGCUGCAUAAGCCGGUCGUGAAAUCCCCGGGCUUAACCUGGGAAUUGCGAUCGGGACUGUGCGGCUAGAGUGUUGGAGAGGACAGCGGAAUUCCCGGUGUAGCAGUGAAAUGCGUAGAUAUCGGGAGGAACAUCAGUGGCGAAGGCGGCUGUCUGGCCAAACACUGACGCUCAGGUGCGAAAGCGUGGGGAGCAAACAGGAUUAGAUACCCUGGUAGUCCACGCCGUAAACGAUGAGAACUAGACGUCGGAGGGGUCUGCUCUUCGGUGUCGUAGCUAACGCGCUAAGUUCUCCGCCUGGGGAGUACGGCCGCAAGGUUGAA